rnacentral:rRNA from 1 species
AACGCGAAGAACCUUACCUGGGCUCGAAAUGUACAGGAAUGCGGUAGAAAUAUCGCCGUCCAGCAAUGGACCUGUAUAUAGGUGCUGCAUGGCUGUCGUCAGCUCGUGUCGUGAGAUGUUGGGUUAAGUCCCGCAACGAGCGCAACCCUUAUUACCAGUUGCUACCAUUUAGUUGAGCACUCUGGUGAGACCGCCUCGGAUAACGGGGAGGAAGGCGGGGAUGACGUCAAGUCCUCAUGGCCUUUAUGUCCAGGGCUACACACGUGCUACAAUGGCCGGUACAAACCGUCGCAAACCCGUGAGGGGGAGCUAAUCGGAAAAAGCCGGCCUCAGUUCGGAUUGGAGUCUGCAACUCGACUCCAUGAAGCUGGAAUCGCUAGUAAUCGCGGAUCAGAACGCCGCGGUGAAUACGUUCCCGGGCCUUGUA